UUUUGCUUUCAUUAAACCACUUCUUUCCAGUUGCAAAAUAAUUCGUCAAUGACUCGUUAUUGUUCUGAUGUAACAUUACCAUCACUCAUUGAGUUGCCUUACGUUGUCGAGUUUUUCCGGCCACGCCGAAGAGCACUUUCGAUGCCUGGGUUGAUGCUUAAAUUCUGAAAAACCAAUUUUUUAAAAUAAAAAUUAAUAAAUAAAUAAAACAAAACAAAAAAGAAAAUAUUGAUAAAAAAAAAAAAGUAAAAUUGAAAAAAAAAAAAAUUUUUUUUUAAAAUUAAUACCUCUGGCCUCAACUUCCACCGCUUUCUGCCCCAUCCCCUGCUCCCUCUUACGCCCUCCAUCCUAUCCCUGGCACUCACACACAAUUUGUUCGGGUCUGUUGCUUGCAAAUUUUCCUCUGUCUUUUACAGAUCUCCAGAACCAUGUUCCAUUCUUAUUGCCAGCCCCCCGCGCCAUUCCACACCACGCCAUACCCCACUUCCAUUUUUACGCUGCUAACCCUUGCCAGACCUCCCAGCCCCCACACCCACCACUCCUCACACCACCCAGCCCCCUCCCCUCACCCCUACUGUCCCCUUUCAAUCAGGGCCACCCCAGAACUAAAAUACUGUUUGAUGAUAAGAUUAAAAUAAUUUUCUGAAUUGUUCA